rnacentral:rRNA from 1 species
UACGGGGGGGCAAGCGUUGUCCGGAAUUAUUGGGCGUAAAGAGCUCGUAGGCGGUGUGUCGCGUCGGCCGUGAAAACCUGCAGCUUAACUGUGGGCUUGCGGUCGAUACGGGCAUCACUGGAGUUCGGCAGGGGAGACUGGAAUUCCUGGUGUAGCGGUGAAAUGCGCAGAUAUCAGGAGGAACACCGGUGGCGAAGGCGGGUCUCUGGGCCGAUACUGACGCUGGGGAGCGAAAGCGUGGGGAGCGAACAGG